rnacentral:rRNA from 1 species
AACGAACGCUGGCGGCAUGCCUAACACAUGCAAGUCGAACGAGACCUUCGGGUCUAGUGGCGCACGGGUGCGUAACGCGUGGGAACCUGCCCUUAGGUUCGGAAUAACUCCCCGAAAGGGGUGCUAAUACCGGAUAAUGUCUUCGGACCAAAGAUUUAUCGCCUUUGGAUGGGCCCGCGUUGGAUUAGCUAGUUGGUAGGGUAAAAGCCUACCAAGGCGACGAUCCAUAGCUGGUCUGAGAGGAUGAUCAGCCACACUGGGACUGAGACACGGCCCAGACUCCUACGGGAGGCAGCAGUGGGGAAUAUUGGACAAUGGGCGAAAGACUGAUCCAGCAAUGCCGCGUGAAUGAUGAAGGCCUUAGGGUUGUAAAGCUCUUUUACCCGGGAUGAUAAUGACAGUACCGGGAGAAUAAGCUCCGGCUAACUCCGUG